rnacentral:rRNA from 1 species
UGGGGAAUUUUGCGCAAUGGGGGAAACCCUGACGCAGCAACGCCGCGUGAGUGAUGAAGGCCUUCGGGUCGUAAAGCUCUGUCAGAGGGAAAGAAAUGUCUGGUGGCUAAUAUCCAUUGGACUUGACGGUACCCUCAAAGGAAGCACCGGCUAACUCCGUGCCAGCAGCCGCGGUAAUACGGAGGGUGCAAGCGUUGUUCGGAAUUAUUGGGCGUAAAGCGCGUGUAGGCGGUCUUUUAAGUCUGAUGUGAAAGCCCCGGGCUCAACCUGGGAAGUGCAUUGGAUACUGGGAGACUUGAGUACGGGAGAGGGUAGUGGAAUUCCCAGUGUAGGAGUGAAAUCCGUAGAUAUUGGGAGGAACACCGGUGGCGAAGGCGGCUGCCUGGACCGAUACUGACGCUGAGACGCGAAAGCGUGGGGAGCAAACA